rnacentral:rRNA from 1 species
AGCAGCCGCGGUAAUUCCAGCUCCAAUAGCGUAUAUUAAAGUUGUUGCAGUUAAAAAGCUCGUAGUUGAAUUUCGGGAUCAAAUUGUCGGUCGUGCCUCGGUACGCACUGGUAUUAUUGGUUCCUACCUUCUGAAGAACCGCGAUGUCAUUAAUUUGGUGUCGUGGGGAAUCAGGACUGUUACUUUGAAAAAAUUAGAGUGUUUAAAGCAGGCUUACGCUUGAAUACAUUAGCAUGGAAUAAUGAAAUAGGACGUUUGAUUCUAUUUUGUUGGUUUCUAGGAUUGACGUAAUGAUUAAUAGGGAUAGUUGGGGGCAUUAGUAUUCAAUUGUCAGAGGUGAAAUUCUUGGAUUUAUUGAAGACUAACUACUGCGAAAGCAUUUGCCAAGGAUGUUUUCAUUAAUCAAGAACGAAAGUUAGGGGAUCGAAGACGAUCAGAUACCGUCGUAGUCUUAACCAUAAACUAUGCCGACUAGGGAUCGGAUGAUGUUAAUUUUUAAUGACUCAUUC